rnacentral:rRNA from 2 species
UCGAACGAACCAUCCUGAUGAUUGAAGCUUGCUUCAUGAUUCAGAUUUUGGNGAGUGGCGGACGGGUGAGUAACACGUGGGUAACCUGCCCAGAAGUGGGGGAUAACAUUUGGAAACAAGUGCUAAUACCGCAUAACAACUUAGAUCACAUGAUCUUUGUUUAAAAGAUGGUUUUGCUAUCUCUUCUGGAUGGACCCGCGGCGUAUUAGCUAGUUGGUGAGGUAAUAGCUCACCAAGGCGAUGAUACGUAGCCGACCUGAGAGGGUAAUCGGCCACAUUGGGACUGAGACACGGCCCAAACUCCUACGGGAGGCAGCAGUAGGGAAUCUUCCACAAUGGACGAAAGUCUGAUGGAGCAAUGCCGCGUGAGUGAAGAAGGUUUUCGGAUCGUAAAACUCUGUUGUUGAAGAAGAACAUAUGUGAGAGUAACUGUUCACGUACUGACGGUAUUCAACCAGAAAGCCACGGCUAACUACGUGCCAGCAGCCGCGGUAAUACGUAGGUGGCAAGCGUUGUCCGGAUUUAUUGGGCGUAAAGAGAAUGUAGGCGGUUUAUUAAGUUUGAAGUGAAAGCCCUCGGCUCAACCGAGGAAGUGCUUCGAAAACUGGUAAACUUGAGUGCAGAAGAGGAAAGUGGAACUCCAUGUGUAGCGGUGGAAUGCGUAGAUAUAUGGAAGAACACCAGUGGCGAAGGCGGCUUUCUGGUCUGUAACUGACGCUGAGAUUCGAAAGCAUGGGUAGCAAACAGGAUUAGAUACCCUGGUAGUCCAUGCCGUAAACGAUGAGUGCUAAGUGUUGGAGGGUUUCCGCCCUUCAGUGCUGCAGCUAACGCAUUAAGCACUCCGCCUGGGGAGUACGAUCGCAAGAUUGAAACUCAAAGGAAUUGACGGGGGCCCGCACAAGCGGUGGAGCAUGUGGUUUAAUUCGAAGCANCGCGAANAACCUUACCAGGUCUUGACAUACCAUGAAAAGCUCAGANAUGAGU